rnacentral:sRNA from 1 species
CGACUCGAGCGAAGCGAGAGAACGUUGCCGCAGGCAACGGCCCGAAGGGCGAGGCGCUUUAGCGCCGAGUAAUCCUUCCCCCACCACCA